ACCUAAAAUAAAAGUAACAUGUAGAAUUCAAUGAUUAAAAGGAUUUUGAUUGUAGUUUCUCUCAUGCAACAUCCUCUUUUGUACUGUAGUGUGGAGGGAAAUGAAAACUUAUGAAAAAUAGUGCUUUUAAAUGCAAUUUGCUGAAUUAAAUAUAUUGAGCACACACUGACAUCAGUGUUAAGAAAUAAGAACUUUGAAAGAUAGCCCAGUUGCAAGCAAGUUUGAUUUAUAAUACAUGAUAGUUUAUAAUUUAGAAAGUAAUUAGAAUAAUUUAGGUUGCCUUCUAUAGCAAGGCACAGGGAAAGAGAGGAGUAAACCUGCCAAAUUCCAAUGAACUAACUAACUUUCAUUUACCACCCUUCAGAAAAAAACAGUCUUUUAGUGCCUAAACUGGUACGUUUAACAGGAAAUCAAAACCCAAAAUAUUAUUUAGUAUUGUAUGUUAGCAUACUUAAGUUUUAUUCCAUAUCUUUCUAAAGGCUUUACUGGCUUUAUGUUAUUAGAAGAAUCCUAUCUUCAGCUUUAAGUUUUUUCUUUAAAUAAUAAUAAUACUUUAAAACUAGUUAACUUCUAUGGGAGAAAUAGCAUUUUAUACUUCCUGUAAUGUAUCUGGUAGCAAUGCAGAGAUGGAAUAAUAGUUUUGUGGCCAAAUGCUAAAGAUACUACUGACCAAGCUGCCUUUUGCAUCAAGAACUACUUACUCAUUCCACCUUCUUUCUACUUUAAAGGAUGGGUAAGCAUCAAAUUAAUCUGCAACUAAUCUAGCUAAAAAGGAAACAAAACAAAAGCCAACCGACUCUGUUCACUGACUGCUGUGCUUACUUUGGCUGAAUCAUCUCAAUUGGGCACAUUAUAUCAUUUUAGCAUCUGGGGACUUAAAGAAACACACAGCAAGAGAACAAUGUUUCAGUUCUCUUGCCAGAGUUGCUUCACUUUGUUCUUUGGCCAAGAUUAGAAAAUGUUUAUGAUAUUUAGGUGGAGCAGUUCCUCUGAAAAGAUAAUUUUUAUGGCCAAAAGUGCCACCCACUGAGCAGGAUAAUGAAGGAAACCAUGUCCCACUUGCAGUCUGGGGGAAAGGACUAUGAAAAAGCAAUUAUUAAUCUAACCUAGAGAGAAGAACAGAUAUGAUGACUGUUACCAUGAAGGUAAAUGUGCGAAGAGACACAUAGUUCUGUAUAAGGACUUGGAAAACUUCUCUCUGAAUAUGUAAGGGGGACCUAAACCACAAGUAAUCUAUCUUCCUUAGCAAAUAAUGACUCUGAGGUGAGAUGGAAGCUACGAUCCUUGUUCAGUAUGCACUAGGCUAUGCAUGCUACUUCAGCAGCUGAUAGCUGUCUGCAUGAUUUGCUAACACACACAUACACCCUCACUGUGCUGAAGCAGAGGUAAACUUGACUGAAAUUGGAGUCUUGAGACAAAACUGAAGAACAAGUAGCACUAAUGGCAAAAAUGCUGCUAUUUAAUUUCUCUGCCACACUCAGCACUAACUCUUUCGUUUCGAUUUAAUCUCAGUAAAAGCUUUUACUACUUCCUCGCUUUAUUUCCCCACCCUUGGAAUCCUUUGAAAGAAAGCUAGUUCAGCAAGUAGGAAUUUCCAAUCUCUUCUGUUUCCUUAAUCUACUCUAAGUGGACUAACCUUCCUUUUUGUUAGCAUAUUCUGCUUCCCCUUUUAUGAAUAUGGUCCUCUCUCAAUGUCACUGAUUUAGCUGCCUGUGUAGUUACACUACUCACUGGUGAUUCUGACACAUUGUAAGUCGAAUGAUCAGUCACAUUCCACUCUCAUUUCCAGCUGUUUGACAACUUUUAGACUGAAUAUGUGAAUAUAACUCACAUAAUAUAAAAUCAGAUAGUUAUUAACUGGCCCAUUAGAACUGGCUUCUUACUAAUUUUUGCUACUAAAGAGGACAGUGGCAUUAUCUCUGACAAAAAGAAGACUGUCUUAAAGCCAGAAAAAUGGCUGCAUCUUAACCAAUAGUUAAAACUGAGUUAGGUUUUGGUAAGACUUGAAGUAAUACAGAUGUAUAUAUCUAAGCAAUGGCUUGUCAGCAGCCAUAAACAGCUCUGUGAUCACCAUUCUGCACUGAGCUGCACUGUUGUGAUACUAGAUGGAGUGUAUGGGGGAGGUGCUUUACAGAAAGAUGAUUAUAUACAGUGAUUUAUGUACAGUGAAAGCUCUGUGAACUAACAGCCAUAUCCAAAGGGCAAUUCCUUGUCUUAAAUGAAUGCUUUUAAAUCAUUGCUCAGAUUGCAAAUACAAUUUACUUUGACCUUUAGUUAAAGGCCCACUUCUACAAGACAACUGAUUUUAGAGCUUGUGUGUUUUCUUAAGACAGGUACUGCUGCAUGGCAAUUUUAAAAUCUAAUUUUCUAACCUUAAUGUAUUUCUCCACAGGUGUCACAGGUCGAACCUGCAGAUGUUCUGGAAGCUCUAUCUUGGGGCUUGUAUUUUCUUCCUUUUUAUGGUGAAUCAACUAAAACCAAACCAUCAAUGUUAAAUGUUGGAAUUUGUCUUUUGAAAUAUGCUGUAAUAUCUGAUAUUGACACCAUUCUCCUCACUGUUGCAUCUCAAUUUCCUGUUCUUUCCAUGUAAAACAGGGCUACUUAUUGUAGUGCUUUGGAAACUAUUGUAAUUUUUUUUUUUUUUUUUGGUUUCAGAAAGUGAUAUAAUUCUGAAUUUCAGAUGAAAGGCUAAAUAUUGCUGACUGAUUCCAACUCUCUUAACUACAUCACUGCCCCAAAAGGGCUAGAAAGGUACCUUCACACGUAUCUUAUAUGACCACAAAACAAAGAUUGACAAAUGCUAAAUACAUAUGUUCACCAAUAGUAACAA